GAAAGAAAGAAAGAAAGAAAGAAAGAAAGAAAGAAAGAAAGAAAGAAAGAAAGAAAGAAAGAAAGAAAAGAAAAGAAAAGAAAAGAAAAAGCCAUCCUGUAUCAAAAGAUGAGACGUUAUGGGGGUUAGUUACGGAAAAGUAAUAUAGCCUUUUUAAAAACUCUCAAGCUGCAGUGCUUAGGAACUGAAGGGCAGAGUGUUCCUUUCCUCUGUUACUGCUGCAUGACCUGUGCUCAACUAUACGUAUUGCAGCCUUAAAGCUUGCUCUUGCUCCCCAGGAGACAAAUGCUAAAGCAUUCUUAGACCUUCGUGCGUGGGGGGGAGAGCUCUCAGUAUAAUUUCAUGGAUAAAUAUUGUAUGCUCUGUGCCUUUUCUUAUGUACUUACAGAAAUGGAAGUAAGCUGGUGCACACUCUGGUGGCCAGUCCUACAGAGAGAACUCACGGGGAUGACACAGUAAAUUACACUUGCAGACUUGCCAUGCAUUGUGCACCAUUUUCUCCUCUGCACAUUUGUUAUGUUUCAGACGAGAAAGCAUAUUCCUCUCAGUUAAGCUUCUUAGAAACGUCCUUACUCCCAAACCUAUGUAUUUUAGUUACCAGUCUUUUGAUUUUAAAGGCUUAAUCUGAGUUUGUUUGGUCAGAUCCGCUUUCUGUUCAGUUUCUCUGCUCACAGCUCCCUGCCUGUUUGAAAAACAAAAGCAAAAACAGGAUGUCCUGUCAUUCUGUCUUUCCUUGGGCUAUAAAAGCAGGGCAAGGUAAGGCUCUUGGCACAGGUCUGUAUUGCGCUCAGCAGAGGCACUCUGCCUAGGCUGGGCCUUCUGGGCUGAACCAAUAACUACCAACUUUCUGGGCUUAGAAUAAAUGUAUACAUGGGUUGAAGAUUUUGAUUUUAAUGUUGUGUGUACGUGCAUGUACAUUAGAAUGCAUGUAAUGUUUGAUUUGUAGAAAUUCGGGCACGUGAACCCUAAUCACAGUAUCCCAAUAACCCUGAUAUUUCUGUGUUUUCUGUCUUCUGAAUGCAAUUUUAAUAUUGAUUCUGCUUAAUGCUGCUUCUCUAGUGUUAUCUGUAGCAUGCAGUUGUGCAUUUCCUAGUUAUUCUGUUUGUUCAGCAGGCAGCCCUGAGCUUUCCUUACUGCAUUCUUCCCUUACUUCUAGCCAGUGCUAUGUUACUUUGGCUGUAGGUGUCAGAAGAUGAAAUUCUGCUAAACUUUGAAGAGAGGAGGCUGAAGUGUCAUGACAUGCCAGCAACUACAGAAGAGGGAAAACAACAAGUGAUUCUUCUUGCAGGGCUCAGGGAAGAGACACAGUCUGAACCACGGCACGCUUCCUCCCCAGCACCUGCUCUCCUGACUGCACCAGCACUGCAGUUCCUGAUGCCAUUCUGAUAACAAAAGCAAUCUGGAUUCAGAGCAUCCUCUUCGUCACUUGGAUCAGCCCAGGGAGCCGCUGUGCAGCCCAGCCCCAGCAGCCGCUGCAGAGCUGCAUGGGGGGCGGCAGGGUGGGAGGCAGGCAUCCCCAGGCUGCAGCUCCCCUGUCUGCUGCUGGCAUGGGUAGCAGAGGGGAUUCCCCUGCGGUGCCUGAAACAGUGCUGCAGGGAAAGAUCCAACACAUCUGUGGGUUAUAUAUUAACAGUCAGCAGUGACCUUCUUGCAGCGUGGCGGAGUAACCGUCUCACUGAAGCACUGAUGAAGAAGUGGCAGCUCUUUCCGCUCCGCAGAGCGCAGGUGUUGGCACCGAGCAGAAGGCUGCCAGACCAUUUCCAUGCAAUGAUACCGUUACCAAUUGCUCCUUACUUUUUAAAAUGUGAAUACAUUGUUCUGAAGUUUUCGGUACUAAAUGAACGGCUGUUUGUUGCGGGGAACGGAAGGGAGACAACAGGAGAAGUCUUCACUAAAACGUUGA
ensembl:lncRNA